UACGUAGGGUGCGAGCGUUGUCCGGAAUUAUUGGGCGUAAAGAGCUCGUAGGCGGUGUGUCGCGUCGGUCGUGAAAACUUGGGGCUUAACCCUGAGCUUGCGGUCGAUACGGGCAUCACUGGAGUUCGGCAGGGGAGACUGGAAUCCUGGUGUAGCGGUGAAAUGCGCAGAUAUCAGGAGGAACACCGGUGGCGAAGGCGGGUCUCGUGGGCCGAUACUGACGCUGAGGAGCGAA
rnacentral:rRNA from 1 species